rnacentral:tRNA from 2 species
UCCGACGUAGUUCAAUGGUAGAACGUCCGGUUGUGACCCGGAAAACAUGUGUUCGAUUCACAUCGUUGGAAC